CUCACUCUGCAGACGGUGGGGCGGAGCCUUAUGCAGUUUUGUUUCCGUAGUGCCUGGGGGCGGGGAAGGCGGGGUUGCGGAUUACUUGGCCGCUUCCUACGAAGACUAGAGAGGGUCAAACAUAACUGAACGCAGUUGUGACAACCUGUUUUUCCUAUUGAGGUGGCGUAAAUAUACCCCAUCUCCUGUACCAGGACGAGGAAAGUGACCAUUGUCUAGAAAUGGAAGGCUGGCAUUAAGAGGGAGAGAAACAAAGUGUUUGCACUCAUGCUCAUGCAAGGGAGUGGUGAGAGGCAGAGAGAGAGAGGGAGAGAGAAUGAUGUGGGGCUCAGUCUCAUGAACUGUAAGAUCAUGACCUCAGCUGAAAUCAAGAGUCUGAUGCUCAACCUACUGAGCUACCUAAGUGCCCCAGUUUUUAUAUUUUUUGAAUCCAUGGUUGAUUCUUGGUAAGUGGCUCUCAAUACAGCGUUCCACAUGAUGAAAUCUGUAACAUAAUCUGUAAGUUCCAUUUUAUUUGCUUCCUAGAGAAAUCCAUCCAACCAUCUUUCAUGUUCUUUUUUCAGUCAGGACUGGUUGCUUUUUAAGCCUGUUACACAUCUGGUUACUAGGAUUUGUUUUGACACCAUCUUGUGAAUUCCUUCUCAAGAAAUUGUUUCUCUACUGUGUUGAAUCUUCCUUUUUCUUGGUUUAUUGCAUCAUUUUAGUGGAGCACAUUUCUCAGGAGCUUCCAGAGAAAGGGUGCUUAAGAGUUUGCAUGAGACUUUGUCUGGAAAUGGUUUUAUUUUAACCUCAUGUAGUUUGAUGCUGAAAUUUUUUUUUCCAGAAUUUGUCUUUUUUUAAAGUUAGAACCUUUCUUCAAAUAUCUGGUAAUUCUUGGCUAUUAUUCUUCAUUUUUAUUUACAUGGUUUCUGUGGACCAGCUUGUUCAUUCUUUCUUUCUUUCUUUCUUUCUUUCUUUCUUUCUUUCUUUCUUUCUUUCUUUCUUUCUUCCUCCUUUCUCCUUUCCUUUCCCCUUUCCUUUCCCUUCCCUUCCUUUCCCUUUCCUCUCUCUCUUUCUCUCCUUCUUUCUUUCCAAUGUAUUCAUUAUUCUAGUGUAUUAAUUUAUUGACAAUUAAAAUUUGUUUAAAAAAAACAGACUUGUUUGAAGGAGAGGAAAAAGACCUGGAUCACAUAAAUUUACAGCUAUAUUAAAAUUAAAAAAAAAGUUUUAUACACACAUGCACAGUCACACAAAUUCAUACAUAAAUAUAUACAGAAACAUUUAUAUACACUUGUAAAUGUGUAUAGGUGUAUCUAUAUAAUAUUUUUCACAUAUAGUGAAAUGCAAGAUCUUAAAUGAACAAUUGAUGAGUUAUGACAUAUGUAUGUGCCUGUAUAACCAACCCCUUAAUUAAGAAAUAGAAUAUACCUAUGACCCCAGAAGUAAGCUUCAGUUUGGAAGCUUUUGAAAAAAAGCUGGAAGAUAAUUUUAACUAAAUGUAUUUAGAUUAAUCAAUCUUCUUUUUUAAAAAAAUUUAUUUUUAACGUUUAUUUAUUUUUGAGACAGAGAGAGACAGAGCAUGAACGGGGGAGGGUCAGAGAGAGGGAGACACAGAAUCUGAAACAGGCUCCAGGCUCUGAGCUGUCAGCACAGAGCCCGACAUGGGGCUCGAACUCACGGACCGCGAGAUCAUGACCUGAGCCAAAGUAGGCUGCUUAACCGACUGAGCCACCCAGGCACCCCUCAAUCUUCUUUUUUAAAAAACAGUAUUAACACAGAUAUAUAAAGCUGUUUUAAAAACAUUAUUAACUAAAGAGGGCACUUGUGAUGAGCACUGGGUAUUGUAUGUAAGUGAUGAAUCCUACUCCUGCAACCAAUAUUGAUUGCACUGUAUGUUAACUAAAAUUAAAAAAAUUAAUAAAUUCUACAACUGAAGAAACUUUAAAUACUGUAUAGAAGAGAUAAGACAUUAUGUUUUAUUUAGAUAUUAUUUUUUCUUCCUACCUUAAAGUUUCCAUAAAAGAUUAUCAAAUUUACUAACUGAUUUUGUAUUGAUUGUAUUCUAUUAAUAUUGUAUCCACUUAUUCUCAAAUUUCUGUCAUCUUUUUUGUAUUCAUUAAUUUUGAGGGAAGGGGGUUGAUCAUUUUUAAUAUAGUGAUUCAACAAUUCUAUACAUUACUCAGUGCUCAUCAAGAGAAGUGUACUUUUAAUCCAUUCACCUAUUUCACCAUCCCCCCCUCCACCUCCCCUCUGGACCAUCUCUACAGUUCUCUAUAGUUAAGAAUCUGUUUUUUUUUUUUUUUUGCCUUUGUUCAUUUGUUUUGUUUCUUAAAUAUGGGCGAGAUAAUAUUAUAUUUGUCUUUCUCUAGUUGACCUAUUUCACUUAGCGUUAUACCCUGUAGACCCAUCCAUGUUGCAAAUGGCAAGAUUUUAUUUUUUUAUGACUAAUAUUCCAUUGUGUAUAUGUAUGUGUGUGUGUAUAUAUAUAAUCUUUCUUUAUCCAUUCAUCUAUUGGUGGACACUUGAGUUGCUUCUAUAUUUUGGCUAUUGUAAAUAAUGUUGCAAUAAACAUGGGGGUGCAUGUAUUUUUUCAAAUCAUUGUUUUCCUAUUCUUUGGGUAAAUACUCAGUGGUGGGGUUACUGAAUCAUAUGGUCAUUCUAUUUCUAAUUUUUUGAGGAACUUCCAUACUGUUUUCCAUAAUGGUUGCACCAGUUUUCAUUCCCACCCAGAGUGCACGAAUGUUCCUUUUCUUUUACAUCUUCGCCAACACUUAUUGUUUCUGUGUUUUUAAUUUUAGCCGUUCUGACAGGUGUGAGGUGAUAUCUCAUUGUGGUUUUGAUUUGCAUUUCCCUGAUGAUGAAUGACGUUGAACAUCUUUUCAUGUGUCUGUUGACCAUUUGUAUGUCUUCUUUGGAGAAAUGUCUGAUCAUGUCUUCUGCCCAUUUUUAAUGGGAUUUUUUUUUUUUGAGUGUUGAGUUGUAUAAGUUCUUUAUAUAUUUUGGAAUUUAACCCCUCCAUUUUUUUUGCAUAAUUAUUGUUGGUGCAGGAUGUUGUUGAUGCUUUGUUUUAGGUCUGCACUAAUUUGAGAUAUUUUUCUUUCUUAUUUGAAAGAGAAAAGUUAAUUUGGGUAGAUACUGCACUUGUGGUUAGAAUUUCAUUUCUCUUGGAGAGGGAGUUCAAGAGAUCUGAUUUGUUUUUCUUACUAUAUAUACUUUGUCUCACAUAAUUAUGUUAAUUGUCCUUUGAGAUAGAAUUAUUAUACCCAUUCUAAAUGAGUACAACAGAGUAAAUGAAACCAAAGUCAUAUAUCUAAGACUAGUGCCACUUGGAUUUAACUCAAGUCUUUUCAACUCUCUGACCUUUGCUUUUCCAAUUGGAAAAUUUGGAAUUGUUGUCCAAAAUGUCAAUGGUGCUAAGAUUGAGAAAUCAUGGCUUAGAUGAUUUAGGAAGUUUAGGGCAGUUACUUUCUUUAGGUGAAUAAUAUUUCCAAAAUUACGUAUGUCACGCAUAUUCCUAUUAGAGAUUCAUUUUGAAGUCUUCCUUUUUUAUUUUCUCCAGCAACUGUCCAAAAUUACAUCUGACAUUUUUUUUUUGAUAGAAUACAAAAUAUGGUAUUAGUUCUCUUUUACAGUUGCAGGUAUUUACUCUGGCACUUAAAACAAGGCUUUCACUUGAGGCAUUUCCAUUAGUACAUUAUUUAUAAAUCUUAACUAUCACUACUUUUUUCUCUUUAUUCAAGAGACUUCAUAAAUUGGUGAAUAAAGAAAGUGAUUACAUUUAUAAAACUAACACAAUAGACCUUUAUCUUAACUUGGGUCUUUUUUAGGUAAAUGCUUUUGGAUGAAAAAUAUAUUCUCAGCAAAGUCUUUUUAAGACUUGACUAUUUUAAAGGGAUCCUCAGCAUGAACACACCACAACAUUUGCUCAAGAAAUGAUUUAGCAUGUAUGCUGAAAACUUUCAAGUUGAGAAACUGAACUAGACCAACUUUUCAUUCCCUCUGGUUGAAUUGCAAGUACUAAUAAACACUAUAGUAUGAAAAAAUGAAGCUAUUUUGGGUUAGGGUGUUGGUUUGUAGUCUUGGUGAAAGUUUUAUUAAUUAUUAUUAUUAUUAGUAGUAGUACUUAGGGUUUAAACUAAGAUAAAAAAGGAAGUAGGAGAGUUGAUGCUUUGCUCUGAAGCUUUAAAAAGAGAAAAGGGAGGAUUUGUGUCCAGUCGGUACUUGCUGAUUAGUGCAUCUUAAACUCCAACCAGGCAGAUGACUUCCAGACUUCCUGAAAAGAAGUGGAGUCUCCAUAACCUUCUCAUCUUUCCUAUGCACGUGGCCUUUAGAACAUGGGGGUGCAUUUUAUUAUUAUUUAAAUCAAGUGUUUAAUGACUACAUAGUGUGCUAGAUGUGGGGAAUACAGAGAAUUAUAAGAUGUAGUCUUUGCAUUUAAAGAAUGCAUACAUUAAAAUAUUAGCUGCUUUCCAAAUUAGAACCCAAUAACUGCAGAAAGGAUGAGACAGGCAGCUCCUGGUACCAAAAUUCCCUUUCAUUUCUCAUGUAACCUGUCCUGCCUUGAACUGACUGUGGGGCAAAGUCUGUUCCAGGGAUGUGCUGGGCAUGACCCUCUUGCUUCUAGUGUGCUGGAAGCACACCCUGGCUCUUGGAUAUCCACAUGGACACUGGGGUUUUGUGUCUGUGGCUAAGUUUCCUUGGCUUGGUGAAUGAUGCAGGCCACCUUUUCUGGAUUACUGACCUCUUUGCUUUGCCUAUCUCUUCCCACUGCAGCCUGGCUUAAUUAUGUUCCUUAGCUGCUUCUGGGUGGUGAUAGCCUAAAUUGGGCCCAUAGCACCCCAACCAGUGCUGAGCAGCUGACACUUCUGAUACUCCUUUCUCCCACCAUGGUCAUGCUUAUUGUCCUGCCAGGGCAGAUAUCAGACUUCAUGGGGGAGGUUGAACUUCAAAUGAACCUUGUGAAAAACAGAGCUUUGAAAAAAAUCAUCUGAACGGGGCAUGUACACUGGAGUAAAGAUGGGGAGACUUCAUGGAAGUUUUGCAAUAGCCUGAGAUCAGGGGAUAAUUUCCAAGUUGGUGGUGGUAAGAAAAGACAUUGAUGGUAAAGAUGUUACUAAGAAAGAAUUAUCCUGACUAGGUGGAAGGAGAAAAGGAGAAGGAGUCUUUGAAUUGUUGGAAAUGCUAGAUGUAAAAAUUAAAAAUUUUGCUCUAAAGGUAAAACUGACCACCUGGGGGAAAACAUGAGAGACUUUUAAUGGAUCAUCCCUCACUAGAGUGACCAAAUGUCCCAAUUUGCCUAGCACUGAGAAGGUUCUUUAGGAAUGGGAAAUUGGAUUUCAAAACUAGAUUGGUCUUUGGCAAACCAGGAUGAGUUGGUCACCCUAUCCCCAACCAGUGCCAGCAUCACAGUGUGUGGUGUUGAAUAAUAGCAUUUACCUUUUUUUUUUUUUUUUGAUGUGGGUGCUUUUUACAUUCAAAGUCAACUUUGUGUAGGUCGUCUUGGACAGGAAUUUCAAACAGACAUUGAGAAUUUAAUCAAAAAGGUUGAGAUUUUAUAAAUGGGGAAGAUGGCCACAUAUGAGAGGCAGGUGCCUUUGGGAGUAUGACAACCUUCAUGCUUCCAUUUAGAUGAGAGGCAAAUUUAAAAAGUAAAAUCUUUUCUUUCAAUGUACUUUCAUUUUUCUUCCACCAGCCCUUAACUCCUGCCCCUCUCCUCCGCCACUCCCUUGCCCAAAUCAGAGUUCGAUUUGUAUGGUGUAAGAUGUUUUGCUCUUUCCUUUAUGAUUUCUUUCCUUAUGCUGGAUAAUUGAAUACUUACUGAAAUAGCUCAAAGCAGGAAUCAGAGGGACAAAGGGAGGACAAAAAUAGGAAGAAAAAAGAACUCUGAGAGUGAACAAAUUGGUUGCUGACUGCUACACUAGCUUGACACUGCAAUACCCGAGGGCAAGUAAUCUCUCUGCUGUGAGAUGCAGAUGAAGAGCUGAGGAAGAGCUCAAAGGACUUUGAGCAACCAUAAUAGAUGCUGCACAUUCAUAUACUGAUGCUUAUGUAUUUAUGAGAGGGCCGUGGCUCAGAAUGCCAUCCAGAACUAAUUGACCUUUAACAUAGAUGUUGUUUCAACAAACUUGUUUGGCUUCCCAGUCAUCUGCGUGCUGGAAGCAAUAAACCCAAAGUUUGCUUCUUGGGGCUGACAUGUGAACAUCAGUGCAAAGUGAAUCCUGAAUUUUCAUAUAUGGAAAGAUGUAGAAAUAAAAAUAGAAACAUUUGCGAAAGUAACCAAGAAAGUAUAGUGGCCUGCUGAAUGUAGGGGCAAAUAAUCCUAUGCAUCUGUCAUUGUUUUAUUACUGAGUUUAAAGAUGACCCUAAAUCAUCAAGACAAAGUCCAAUACAUUUAGCAUAACUUGUUUGAGACCCAAGAGAACUACUUAACAUCUUAGAGUUUCUACCAAACUUUUACAUUGGUAAGUCUUCAGUUAUCUGAAAAAUUGACUUCUGUGGAAUACUUUAUUACUCCAGGAACUAAUAAUAAAGGAAAUGUUAGUGCAUGUUUAAAAAAAACAAAAUGGAGGAACCUAAGCAAGAUUUAGGACUCUAUGCUAGAAUACCAGGCACCCGGCAUUUGUGAGGAAAUUAACUUGCAAUCUUCCUAUUCAGCUGGGGCUGCACAAUGGAUGCCAACUGCUGGACAAAGCUGGAUCUUGCAGACAUUCUGUUGCCCCGACUGCCUGCCGGCAGAGAGCCAUCACAAGCUUCAGUGCAGCCCCGAGGGGCGCAUAUAUUAAAGAAAAAACAAGAGCCUUGCUCCAAAAUGGCUUAUUUAAAAUGCAAAGGGUAACAAGAGAGUUACAUUCGGGGAAAGCCCAGCUCUCAGAAACAGGAAAGUAAUACCAAAUCUUGGUUAAAGUUGCUUGCUCUUGAACUAAUUAACUAGGGAUUGAAUUCAGCAUGAGAAGUCAGAAUGUGGGUUAAAAGUGAAGGAAAAUGUUAUUUUUCCUCUUAGGUACCAGCCUGGCAUUUCAGAAUGUAGUAGCAGGCAGCACAUGAUGAAAUCCCAAAAUUGUGAAAAACACCAUGGCUAAUUGAAAAGGGGUUCCAGAGAUAUAAUUUGGUCCAGAUGCAUGAUAAAAAGCAUUUUUAUCUUCUUUGGUGGUAACCUCUUUGUAAUAAGAUAUGGGCACAUUUGUCAUUAAAGAAAAAAAGAGAGAAAUGAAUAAUACAGGAUCCAGUGGAACAACAAAUAUGUUCUCACCACUUAUGAAAUACUAUUCCUACCUAGCAUUGAUCUGCUAUUGUUUUCUUUCAAAUUUAUUUUCUUAUUUUUCUAACAUGGGAGAUUUGUGAGAAAAUCAUACAUAAAAGAAGGAAGCCAAGAUCUUUUGCUUUUAUUUUACUUGCAAACCUUUAAGGAAAGAGUAGAACCUUUUUAUAAAGUCAUACUACCCAUUGAUGGCAUCCCUCACUGGAUAGCACCCUUGACAGAACAUGUCUGCAUAUAACAAAAUCUUCUUAACAGGCCUGUUCUAGAUUCAAAAUUUCAUGCCUAAUUAGCUGUGUAAACAAAUUUGGAAUUUAGGGAAUUUUCUAUGUCACACAGGAGUGAAGGUUUAUUACUUAUUUUGUAAGUGGGUCCUCCCCAAAUUUGAUAGUAUAGACUCUCUGAAAUCCAUGCUAUCCCCUAUGGUAUUCCCUUUGACUCUUAAAUUGUGUAUUCUGUGUUAAUUUGGCUGCCGCUUCUGUAUUCAGAAGUGCUCACAGUCAGAACCAACCAGUGGACUGUCUCAGGGAGAGAGUUAUACUGCCCACAAAGUGCAGGGCACAUUUCAGCAGAGGGCACUCAGCCCUUUGGGUCCUGCCCUGCCAAAGCCCAAGAGUUAUGUAAGGUUCCCAUGCCCAGAUCUCUGCCAAAUUCGGGAAUUCUGUGAAUUUCUCAUUAGCUCAUUGCAGAAUGAAAGGAGAGGCAGGUAGAGACCAUGCCAAAUCAGGGGUCAGUAGAGAAAUGUGAUAAUUGGAUGUGGCCAUCUAUUGACAGACAGCACCCACCUCAGCAUCAGCUGGUCAGGAAUCCACAGAAAAUCCAGGGGGCACAUGGUACAGGUCACCCAGAGGUGGCUUUAUCUUCUUUGACUGACACUUAAAUGGCAAAGCUCAUUUGAUGCUGUUCCAGGCUCACUGCUGGGUAUUUCUGACCAUGUGUUUUAAUUAAUGUUUUUAUUGUACUUGGGCCCAGAGGCUGUUUCAACAGACCAGCAUAUAUUUAGAAGUCUCUGAAUAAAUAAAUGUAAAGCAAGGAAAAACGGACUCUGCUGGAAUGAUGCAAGCGAUUGUUUCUGAAAAGAUAGAUGAAAGUUUCAGACUCUACAGCUUGAAACGAACCCCUCUGCAGUAUCAUGGCAUGUCACCUAAACACCCACUUUGCGUGUAACAGUAUGAAUUCAGGAUCUUAUCCAACGUCUGGCUUUAGAAGUCUGUCCUCUGGGUCUUGAGGCAAUUGGGGAAACAGUAGAAUUGAUUGUGUCAGUUUUGACUUUAAAAAGUUAGCAAAGAAAUAGUAGGGAUGUUGGGCUGGCAGUGGCAGCAAAUUUCUGAGGCAACAUUUAUUUGGACCAGUGUAGAUUUCUUCCCACUGGUGGAGGAAGGAACUAGUUAAAACAGGGUAGUUCCUUUGUCUCCCCUUAUUGUUUGCUCUUGAAUUUUUGCUGUCCUUUAAAAAAAAUUUUUUUUUAACCUUUUUUCACCCUCAAGAUACAGAGCAUGAGUGGGGGAGGGGCAGAGAGAGAGGGAGACACCGAAUCCAAAGCAGGCUCCAGGGUCUGAGCUGUCAGCACAGAGCCCAACGUGGGCCUCAAACUCACGGACAGUGAGAUCAUGACCUGAACUGAAGUCAGAUGCUUAGCCAAAUGAGCCACCCAGGUGCCCCUGCUCUUCUUUUUAAAAGGAGCUUUUAUUUCUUUGCCAUGCAUUUUAUGUCAGUAGCACUUUAAUUCACUUUAGUCCAUCUUUACUGGGAGAGGAUUUAAUUCACUUUAGCCGAUCUUUACUGAGCACCUCUUCAUUCAAGGCAGGAGCCAGACUUUGUAGGGGAGUGAAAUGUUUACAAGGUAAAGAAAAUGUAUUUAUAUGAUACAUCUUGCUUCUGAAUAUGUGCUAAAUUUGGAGUAGAUAAAAGCAUCUUCCUUUUCUUGUCAGGAUCCAUUAUAAGUUAAAUUCUCCAGUUGUAGUAUUUUGGGGGGGCCCAGAGAACUCAUGAAAGUUAAUCAAGAGCUAUAAGCCUGGAGUAUUAGCAAAUUGCCUGGUGAUAGUAACCAGGUCUGGUCCUGGGCAGAAAGGUAAGGUUCUGCAGUCUGUCUGGUUAUGUGCCAUCAUUUUUCGCUUUUCUCUUCCUACGGUGGCACCCACUUUCCUCCCUUUUGUCCAUCUUGAGGGUUCCAAAUUUUUCAAGAUGCUCUCAAUUAGUGGUUCUUGGCUCUGGUUGCAAACAGCAUUGAAAAAAUACUGAUGGCUGGGCCUCACACCCAGAGCAAUGAAAAACACUGCAGUGAUUCUAUUGUGCAGCCAGAGUUGAAAAUAGUGCCCUUUGCCCACUGUCAGUGAUUUUCCUCCAUGUGCAAUUUGGCAAACUCGCCCUCAAGAAAGUACUUGUUUAAAUUACCCUAGUUCCUUGAUUUCAGGACCUAGACAGACUCCCCUAGGCAACCACCUAUUCUAGGUAAUUGCAGUCAACCUACAUGUCCUCCUCACUCCCUGUUUACAUUUUUUAGAUGGAGUUAAUUUUCUUCUUUCUCUUACUCCAUUCUCUUCUUUAUUUCCUCUUUGUUUACUAUUCUUUUCACACCCCUUUCCUUUCCCUGACCCUAACUAUAGGUUUUCUGAGUACUUGAAGAGUAUAUGUUUCAUACUUGGCUUUGUCAAUAGACAUGACAUGUAAAGUUCUUACAUAUACCAUAGAUUUAAUAACAGCUUUUUUACUAAAAAAGAAAAGAGGGCAAGAAAAAGUAUCACCACAUUAAAAGCAUACCUUAAUUAUAGGGGAUAACAUGCUUUCGGAAAUAUUAAACUGUGAAAAUCAUGUAAAUCAUAGAACAAAGAGAAUAUGGUUUUUAGCACUAUAUUGUGUGGGAGCAAAAAUUUACCUGUACUUUUUUGAGGGCUAUUUGCAUUGUGAAAGAGGGACUUUUUAAGUGAAAAUAUUGCAAAUGUUCCCUUUUUUAAUGAUACAUUUUCAAAUGGGAUUGUGGGCUAGAUAAGGGUUUCUCAAUCUCAGUAUUAUUGACAAUUUGGACUAGAUAGUUCUUUGUUGUGUGUGUGUGGGGCGGGGGCUGCGCUGUGGAUUGCUAGAUGUUUAGCAGCAUCUCUCGCCUCUCCCCACUAGAUGCCAAUAGUAUCCUCGCCUUUCAAAAGUUGUUAUAACCAAAAUGUCUCCAAACACUGCCAAGUAUCCUCUAGGCAGGGGACACAAUCAUCCCCAUUUAAGAACCAUUCGGCUAGUGAAAAAGAUACUCUGAGAGCGGCAGCUUGUAUCAGUUAGUGUUCAGUUGCAGAGAACAGACCCCACUCUAGCUAGCUUAAGCCGAAAUGUAUUAAUGACAGGGUAUUCAAUGUUCUACAGAACUGGUCUGCGGGCUGAAGAAACAGACUCUAGGCUGGUGAGCUUCCAGAAAUGAAUCCCAAAGCCACACCACAACUGAGCCAUCAAAGGACUGCUGUGCUUGCCUUGAUCUGGACGCUGCCUGUCAAAUGGAGAAGUGGUGCUCAGGAAGCCACUUCUGCUAAACUAGGGAGUUAGCACUCCAUCUGCAGCAACAGAAUGAUGCCUCAUGUCCAGCCUCUCUCUUGUGUCACUCAGUCUUGAUUUGCAUUCUGAAAGGGAAUCUGACGAUGGAGCCUACAUCGUACCCGGACCCUAGUUACAAGGAAGCAUGGAAAAAAGCAGUUUUUUGUUCACCAGCCUCUGUAAUACAAAGGAAGGUUUUCCAGAAGAAAGCUAGAGUAGAUGCUGAAGGAGCUCAUCUCUCAGGUUCUUCUUAGUGAUCCUUAACUCCUACCACUAGGCAACCACCUAUUCCAGGUAAUUGGAUUGGCCCUGGUGUCCUUUUCACUCCUUAUUUAGAUUUUUAAAUUUUAUUUAUUUAUUUUUUUAAAGUUUUUAAAACAUUUUAUUUAUGUAAUCUCUACACCUAACAUGGGGAUCAAACUCACGACCCCAAGAUCAAGAGUCGCAUGCUUUCCAACUGAGCCAGCCAGGUGCCCCUUAAUUUACAUUUUUUAGAUUGAUUCAAUUUUCUUUGUUUUACUCCAUUCUCCUCCCUAUUUUCUCUUUGAUUACCAUUCUUUUCACAACUCUUCCCUUUCCCUUACCCUAACUAUAGGCUUUCUGAGGACUUAAAGAGUACAUAUUUCAUACUUGGCUUUGUCAAUUGACUUGGCUUUGUACAAAACCUUUGCUGAUGGAGUGUGAGCUGAAGCCUAGGAUACUCAACUAAUAUCACCACUCAAGAUGCUAUGAGAAUAGAUAUUUUGGGGCAAAGCUUGUAUCUUUGAAUCAUAGAAGGAUAGAGCACCAAUGAACAUAAGCAAUCACAUUGUCUGAUUUGAAUUAAAUGUUGAUCAGUAGCCUUAAGUCCAAGAGGGUAAGAAUGAAGCUCUACUUUCUGUCUCUGGAUUAUAAUCUUUUCCAAUUUAGAAAAAGGUGACUCCUCAUGGCUAGGCAUAUGAGGAGCAAUCAUAAAUGAUUGCUUGCCAAAUAUCACAUAUUUUUCUUCUAGUUUGUUGCUAAAAAUAUCCCAAUUAUGAAUUGGUUUAAGAUAUGGGACUUUGACCCAAAGGUAAAAUGAAGUCGAUAUUCUUGGGAGAAGUAAAGACAUGAGUCAUUUACUCUUUAGUAUAGGGUUGCUACAUUAAAUAUAGGACAGCCAGUUAAAUUUGAAUUUCAAAUAAACAAUGGUUAAUUUUAGUGUAAGUAUGUUCCAAAUGUUGCAUAGGAUAUAAUUGUACUAAAAAUUAUUUGUUAUUUAUCUGAAAUUAAAAUUUAACUGGAUGUCCUUUAUUUUUAUUUACUCAGUCUCAUGUGAAUGAGCUGUUCAAGUUAUUUUUUGAGAGGUACAGGAGAUGAAGAAAACAUGAGGGUAAUGGACUCCUGAGAGGAAUAAAAAUGGCCAAAUUAGGCUAUAUACCAGAGGAAGAGGGGCAACUGAAAACAAUCAGGCACUAAAACUGGUCCUGGUUGUCACUGACCAUUCCCUAGACAUGCAAAUGAAGGCCUUACAUCAAGAUAAAGCUUUACUUCUCUGCAAAUGUAGUCUCUAUCUUAAAGCAUUUGGAUCUGGUCCCAGUGCAGCAUUCGUUGCCCCAGCCCGACAAGCCAAGCUUCGAGGUAAGUGGAAGAGAUGAGCCGCACAGGCACUGGAUACCUUGGAGCCUUGUAAUCUUGCUUGCACAACCUCCAGAUUGCAUGGUCCUUGGCUUCAGUGCAGCUGGGCACAAUUUCAAUGCACAUCUAUGGAGACCAUGUCACAACAACAAAACAAACCAACGUAGCUGCAAGUUACAUUAACGGCUUGAAAAAACAAGUCAACAGACUUGAAGACUGCUCUGGGAGCCCCUCCCAGGGAGUUAGUCUUUGGCAGAAAGGGAGUUACUGUGUCUCCUUUUUGACAUUUUUUCAGUAAGAUGAUUCUAUAUGAUCUUCAGCUUGUCCCUUUCAAGGAGUUUUUGUUUGUUUUUCGGAGGUAACCUUUAUUUGCUUUAUUGUUGAUGAGCAUUAGAUCUUCCUGGGUGCAGAGUGUCCCGUACUGCAUAGAAAUUUCUUGUCCUAAGAGAUGGUUUCCCUACUACAGAUGUCACACCCAUGCAAUGGUACAUCCCUUCCUUACACUGCUAUUGGUCAUAAAUACAUUGAGCCAGAUUUUCCAAAUAUUCUGAUACUUCAGUCACUGCCUGGUUGCAAAUUGGUGGACAGGAGGAGUUUAUACACCUUGCAGCAGUAUCUCAUAUGACAAUUCUGAAGUAAUUUGUUGGAUACAACUUGCUCCUUGCUCCUUGCUCCUUACAGAAAGUACAUGGGUAUAUGUAAAAUAAGGCUGGUAGCACCUUCCUCAUUACUCAGCUAAGAACAAAUUGGCUUCUUAAUGUUAGUGGAUCAGGCCCAGGACUAUAUGUGGAUUGGAGUCUUGCCAAAAUCAGGAACCUCCUGUGCUCAUACAGUUAUUAUUUCUGAUUUUUAUGGAAGUUUUGAUUUAUGUGCCACUAACAUCAGGGUGUGUGGGUGAAUACACUGUGAGGAAGCUGGUGAAGAGAAGGAAAAAUUAAGCAUUUUUGAAGGAGUAUUCUUAGUUGUUCGAUGUGAGUUCUUUAAAAACAAAUGUAAGGUAUGCUUUACUUUGCAUUUUGAAUUUUUUUAAUCUGGUUUGCAUAUAACCUUGGACUAUUGUAUGUUACCUCAAAAAAUUCAGCCUGAGACAUACAGUGCAUUAUAACAACUCUAAGUUUUGCCUUGUAUAGUAAUUGUAAGCUUCUUUUUGUAAGAGAACAACAACAACAAAAACAGUAAAACCAUUCUAAUUUUCCUUAUUUUUCCUUGGUUGUCUUUUUUUUUUUUUUUUUUUUUUUAUUUUAACCAAGCCUCUUCUGACUCAUUUCCUGGGCUAUCCCAAUUUGUGUAUGUUUCCAGAAUUUGGUUUUUAUUGUUUUUUCAUUUUCACUCUUUUCUCCAGUUCUUCCGUUUCCUGUUAUUCAUUCCCCAAGUCCCAUUCCCAUAUACCCUCCCUUUUCUGGAUCACCCCUUCCUAUUUAUCUAGAUCUUUGUGGAGAGAUACAGCUUUCUUUGCUCUUUCAUCACAGAACUUACAUAAAGUUCUGCUCCACGUCCCCUGAAAGUGUGUGGAACAGUUUGCCCUUGCUUCAGGAACAUAUCAGUGAGAGGCACAGAAGGACUUGGAGUUGUGAACAUGAACGGGAGUGGGUUAUGAUUUCUCUUAGGUCCAUUCCACUCUUAGGAUUCCAUGAUUCCUGGAGAGAUACUCCCCGGACUGGUGUAUCAGGUAUACUCUUUUUGUGAAUUUAGCUUCUUCAACUUAAAUGUAGUUUGAAGUUAAGUUAUGCUAAGCUGAAAAACAAAAAGAUUUUCAAGACAUAAACAAUUUGGCUGUUUUCAGAGAGGCCAAAAAAAAAUCAAUAUUGUCAGAUAGUCCUCAUAUUAUCUAAGAGGCGAUUAAUUCACAAAGCAGAGUAACUGUGGAAGGAUGAGCUCCUAAUGCAGUUAACAGGUCUUUCUCUGUCGUACCUUGGCUCUCCUAACUUUUGGUAAUUUUAAAGUGCAGUUGGAAAAGCACCACUGCUUUAUUUUGUUAAAAAUUUUUUUUAAUGUUUAUUUAUUUUUGAGAGAGAGAGUGCAAGCAGGGGAGGGGCAGAGAGAGAGAGGGAGACACAGAAUCUGAAGCAGGCUCCAGGCUCUGAACUGUCAGCACAGAGCGGACGUGGGGCUCGAACCCAUGAACUGUGAGAUCAUAGACUUGAAACGACGUCAGAUGCUUAACCAACUGAACCACCCAGGCACCCCUCGUUUUGGUUUUUGAUACUAAAAACAAUGGGAAGCCAUUGCUUUGGGGGGAGAAUGAGAGAGGUGGUCAGACUUACAUGUCAAAAAUAUUUAUUUAGAUAGUGUAAUAAGCAUCCUAUGAAUUACUAGAGGACCUCAAAUAUUUAAAACUGACACAUAUUUUCUUUUUUAAAAAAUUAAUUUUUGUCAGGACACUUAACAUGAGAUCUAUAUACUUAAAAAAUUUUAAGUGUACCAUACAUUACUGUUGGAUAUGGACACAAUCUUGUACAGCAGAUAUCUAGAGCUUAUUCAUCUUACCUAACUGAAGUUUUAUGUUUGUUCAUUAAUAACUCCUCAUAUCUCCUUUCCCCUCCCCAUGGUACCUACCAUUCUAGUCUUUGAUUUCAUGAAUUUGACCAAUUUAUAUAUCUCAUAUAAGUAGAAUCAUGUAGUAUUUAUCUUUCUGUGUCUGGCUUAUUUACUUAGCAUCAUGUCCUUAAGCUCUAUCUAUGUUGUCAAAUACUGCAGAAUUUCUUUUUUUUUUUCCCUUAAGACUGAAGAGUACUCUAUUAUAUGUAUAUUCCACAUUUAAAAAUCCAUUUAUUGUCAAUGGACAUUUAGAUUGUUUCUGUCUCUUAGCUAUUGUGAAUAGUGCUGCAAUAAAUAUGGGAGUGAUAAUACCUCUUUGAGAUUUUGAUUUUAAGUUUUUGGAUAUAAAUUUAGAAGUGGUAUUAUUGAAUCAUAUGGUAGUUCUACUUUUAAUUUUUUGAGGAACUUCCAUUAUAUUUUCCAUAGAAGCUACACUAUUUUGCAUUCCCACCAACAGUGUUACAAGGUUCCAAUUUCUAUGCAUCCUUUCCAACACUUGUUUCAUUUGCUUGUUUCUUUUUUCAUAGCAGUGAUUCUAACAGUAUCAGAUGAUAUCUCAUUAUGGUUUUGAUUUGCAUUUCCCUGAUGAUUAAUGAUGAUGAAAUUUUUUUCCAUAUACCUGUUGGCUAUUAGUAUGUCUUCUUUGAAGACGUUUUUUUAAAAAAAUUUUAAUGUUUAUUUAUUUUUGAGAGAGAGAGAUCAAACUGCGAGAUCACGGCCUGAAUCAAAGUUGGAAGCUUAACAGACUGAGCCACCAGGUGCUCCUAAAGAAGUUUUUAUUCAAGUCUUUAGCCCAUUUUUGAAAUCAGAUUAUUAGUUUUUUUGUUAAUGAAUUGUAGGAGUUCUUUAUAUACUUUAGAUAUUAAUUCCAUAUCAGAUACAUGAUUUGUGAAUAUUUUCUCCCAUUCUAUAGGUUGCCUUUUCACUCUAUUGAUUAUUUCCUUUGCUGUGUAGAAGGUUUUUAGUUUGAUGGGAUUAAGUCCACUUGUUUAUUUUUGUUUUUGUUGCCUGUUGCCUGAAAUAAUUGUCAAUACCAAUAUCAUGAAGGUUUUCUUCUUGGAUUUUUACAAUUAAAAAGUUUUUUAAAAAGUUAAUUUAUUUUGAGAGAGAGAGAGAGAGAAUUAUUGGGGGGGGCAGAGAGAGAGAGGGAGAGAGAGAAUCCCAGACAGGCUCCACACUGUCAGUGUAGAGCCCAACUCAGGGCUUAAGGUCAUGUGAGAUCAUGACCUAAGCUGAAAUCAAGAGUCAGAUGCUCAACUGAGCUACCCAGGUGCUCUGAGUUUUACAAUUUUAAGUCUUAUGUUUAAGUUGAUUAAAAAAAAAACAAAAAACUUUUUUUAAGUUUAUUUAUUUUGAGAGAGAAACAGAGCCCAUGAGUGGGGGAUGGGCAGAGAGAGAGGGAGAGAGAGAGAAUCCCAAGCAGGCUCUGCACUGUCAGUGCACACAGCCUGAUGUGGGACUCGAACCCAUGAACUGUGAGAUCAUGACCUAAGCUGAAGUAAAGAGCCAGACAUCUAACUGACUGAGCCACCCUGGCGCCCCAAGUUGAUUUUUAAAAAAUGUUUAUUUAUUUUGGAGAUUGAGAGACAGCAUGCAAGCAGGGGAGGGGCAGAGAGAAAGAAGGGGACAGAGGAUCUGAAGUGGUCUCUUCACUGACAGCAGCUAGCCCGCUGUGGGGCUCGAACUCAUGACCCAUGAGAUCAAGUCUGACAAAGUUGGAUGCUCAACUGACUGAGCCACUGGGUGCCUGAGUUGAUUUUUGUUUAUGGUAUGAGUCCAAUUUUAUUAUUUUGCAUUGGGUAUCCAGUUUUCUCAGCACCAUUUGUUGAAGAGACUAUCCUUUUCACAUUGUGUAUUCUUGGCACCCUUAUCAAAGAUCAACUGGCUGUAUGUAUGUGAAUUUAUGUCUGGGCUCUAUUCUGUUUCAUUGGUCUAUAUAGCUGUCUAUACUCUAGUACCAUAGUGUUUUGAUUACUGUAGCUUCAUAGUAUAUUUUGAAAUCAGAAAAUGUGAUGCUUCCAGCUUUGUUCUUCUUUCUCAGGAUUUAUUUGGCUAUUUGUGGUCUUGUGUGAUUCCAUGUGAAUUGUAGAAUUGUUUUUUUCUAUUUCUAUAAAAAAUGUCUUAUGGGUUUUGAUAGGAUUUGCACUGAAUCUGUAGCUCACUUUGGGUGGUACAGACAUUUUAACAAUAUUGAGUCUUCUAAUCCAUGAACACAGAUGUCUUCCCAUUUGUGUUGUUUGAUUUCUUUCAUUGAUGUUUUGUAGUUUUCAGUAUAUAAAUCUUUCACCUUGUUAGUUAAGUUACUUUGGUAUCUUUAUCCACAAAAAUGUGGUCAAGACAGCCCAGAGUGAAAACUGUAACACCAAAAAGUGGGACAAAAUUAUUUUGGACUUGUUUUUGUAUUCUUAGGUAUAUCUUAUCAGCAUUUAAUAUGAGGUUCUGUUCAUCAUAGGUGUGCUUCGUGUUCAUUCUUUUCAAAUGAAAUUUUUACUUUACCUUAUUUGAAAAGUGAGUGAAAAACUGACUGUUGGGGUCCAUAUACUACUUGGAAAGGAAGAGCUAACAAAAGGUUGAUCUUUCACAUUUAGGUCAGUAAAUAACCCUUUUAUUUAUUUCUGCCUGCACAUAAUAUGGAUACUUGUUUGGGACUGCUAUUACAUAUUGCAGUCACUUAAUAAAUUAUAUUGAACUAAAUUACUUGACUAAAUUAUUUUGUGAGUUGGUAGUAAACUUAAUUUCUAACUUAUGACAGUGAUUUAUAAUUUGACAUUUUAGAGAAUUCCAAACAUCUUAAAAAUAUGAGAAGCCAUUGCUUAUCUUGAUCAUUUAAAAAGAAAUUCAGAUUCUGUUUCAAAAAGGGCUCACGUGAGGUUAUAGUUAAUUUCCCAUUGGUAAAAUGUGUAGUAACUAUUGGAAUUUUUCAUUUACCCUUAAAGGAAAGUAAUCCCAUUUAUAAUCUGCAUGGGUUGUUCCCAAACCAAGCAUAAUUUCCACUGAUAUGUUAUGAACACUAACAGGAAAAAAUGAUGAAUGAUGACCAAAAGAUACAGAUACUAAAUGUUUCAUUAAAAAAGCAGUC